rnacentral:tRNA from 1 species
UGGGGUGUAGCUUAUUGGUAGAGUACUUGCCUCGCAUGCAUGAAGCACUGGGUUCGAUCCUCAGCACCACAU